rnacentral:rRNA from 1 species
AUUUGGCGGACGGGUGAGUAACACGUGGGCAACCUGCCUGUAAGACUGGGAUAACUCCGGGAAACCGGAGCUAAUACCGGAUAACAUUUUCUCUUGCAUAAGAGAAAAUUGAAAGAUGGUUUCGGCUAUCACUUACAGAUGGGCCCGCGGUGCAUUAGCUAGUUGGUGAGGUAACGGCUCACCAAGGCAACGAUGCAUAGCCGACCUGAGAGGGUGAUCGGCCACACUGGGACUGAGACACGGCCCAGACUCCUACGGGAGGCAGCAGUAGGGAAUCUUCCGCAAUGGACGAAAGUCUGACGGAGCAACGCCGCGUGAGUGAUGAAGGCUUUCGGGUCGUAAAACUCUGUUGUUAGGGAAGAACAAGUACAAGAGUAACUGCUUGUACCUUGACGGUACCUAACCAGAAAGCCACGGCUAACUACGUGCCAGCAGCCGCGGUAAUA